rnacentral:rRNA from 1 species
AUUGAACGCUGGCGGCAUGCCUUACACAUGCAAGUCGAACGGCAGCACGGGAGCUUGCUCCUGGUGGCGAGUGGCGAACGGGUGAGUAAUACAUCGGAACGUACCCUGAAGUGGGGGAUAACGUAGCGAAAGUUACGCUAAUACCGCAUAUUCUGUGAGCAGGAGAGAGGGGGAUCGCAAGACCUCUUGCUUUAGGAGCGGCCGAUGUCGGAUUAGCUAGUUGGUGAGGUAAAGGCUCACCAAGGCGACGAUCCGUAGCGGGUCUGAGAGGAUGAUCCGCCACACUGGGACUGAGACACGGCCCAGACUCCUACGGGAGGCAGCAGUGGGGAAUUUUGGACAAUGGGCGCAAGCCUGAUCCAGCCAUGCCGCGUGAGUGAAGAAGGCC